GACGAACGCUGGCGGCGCGCUUAACACAUGCAAGUCGAACGGAAAGGCCUGCUUUCCCUUGUGGAUUGCGGGUACUCGAGUGGCGAACGGGUGAGUAACACGUGAGUGAUCUGCCCCCAACUUGGGUAUAAGCCUGGGAAACUGGGUCUAAUUCCCGAUAGGACUGCAGGGUGGUGCCUGUGGUGGAAAACAAUUUUCUAGUGGUUGGGGAUGAGCUCGCGGCCUAUCAGCUUGUUGGUGGGGUAAUGGCCUACCAAGGCGGCGACGGGUAGCCGGCCUGAGAGGGUGGACGGCCACAUUGGGACUGAGAUACGGCCCAGACUCCGACGGGAGGCAGCAGUGGGGAAUAUUGCACAAUGGGCGGAAGCCUGAUGCAGCGACGCCGCGUGGGGGAUGACGGCCUUCGGGUUGUAAACUCCUUUCGACCGCGAGGAAGCCACCUGGUUGGAAGGGUGGUGACGGUAGUGGUAGAAGAAGCACCGGCUAACUACGUG
rnacentral:rRNA from 1 species